CUCUUUGGAGUAGUAGGUAGCGCAUCUGUCUCCCAAGCUGAAGGUCCUGAGUUAGAUUCUCAGAAGGG
rnacentral:tRNA from 1 species